UACGAAGGGGGCUAGCGUUGUUCGGAAUCACUGGGCGUAAAGGGCGCGUAGGCGGCCUACUAAGUCGGACGUGAAAUCCCUCGGCUCAACCGAGGAACUGCGUCCGAUACUGGCAGGCUGGAAUCCGGGAGAGGGAUGUGGAAUUCCAGGUGUAGCGGUGAAAUGCGUAGAUAUCUGGAGGAACACCGGUGGCGAAGGCGGCAUCCUGGACCGGUAUUGACGCUGAGGCGCGAAAGCUAGGGGAGCAAACGG
rnacentral:rRNA from 1 species